rnacentral:rRNA from 1 species
GGGUUGUGAGGUUAAGCGACUAAGCGUACACGGUGGAUGCCCUGGCAGUCAGAGGCGAUGAAGGGCGUGCUAAUCUGCGAUAAGCGCCGGUAAGGUGAUAUGAACCGUUAUAACCGGCGAUACCCGAAUGGGGAAACCCAGUGUGACUCGUCACACUAUCAUUAACUGAAUCCAUAGGUUAAUGAGGCGAACCGGGGGAACUGAAACAUCUAAGUACCCCGAGGAAAAGAAAUCAACCGAGAUUCCCCCAGUAGCGGCGAGCGAACGGGGAGGAGCCCAGAGCCUGAAUCAGCAUGUGUGUUAGUGGAAGCGUCUGGAAAGGCGCGCGAUACAGGGUGACAGCCCCGUACACAAAAGCGCAUGUGCUGUGAGCUCGAUGAGUAGGGCGGGACACGUGGUAUCCUGUCUGAAUAUGGGGGGACCAUCCUCCAAGGCUAAAUACUCCUGACUGACCGAUAGUGAACCAGUACCGUGAGGGAAAGGCGAAAAGAACCCCGGCGAGGGGAGUGAAAAAGAACCUGAAACCGUGUACGUACAAGCAGUGGGAGCACAGGUUUACCUGUGUGACUGCGUACCUUUUGUAUAAUGGGUCAGCGACUUAUAUUCUGUAGCAAGGUUAACCGUAUAGGGGAGCCGGAGGGAAACCGAGUCUUAACCGGGCGUUAAGUUGCAGGGUAUAGACCCGAAACCCGGUGAUCUAGCCAUGGGCAGGUUGAAGGUUGGGUAACACUAACUGGAGGACCGAACCGACUAAUGUUGAAAAAUUAGCGGAUGACCUGUGGCUGGGGGUGAAAGGCCAAUCAAACCGGGAGAUAGCUGGUUCUCCCCGAAAGCUAUUUAGGUAGCGCCUCGUGAAUUCAUCUCCGGGGGUAGAGCACUGUUUCGGCUAGGGGGCCAUCCCGGCUUACCAACCCGAUGCAAACUGCGAAUACCGGAGAAUGUUAUCACGGGAGACACACGGCGGGUGCUAACGUCCGUCGUGAAGAGGGAAACAACCCAGACCGCCAGCUAAGGUCCCAAAGUCAUGGUUAAGUGGGAAACGAUGUGGGAAGGCCCAGACAGCCAGGAUGUUGGCUUAGAAGCAGCCAUCAUUUAAAGAAAGCGUAAUAGCUCACUGGUCGAGUCGGCCUGCGCGGAAGAUGUAACGGGGCUAAACCAUGCACCGAAGCUGCGGCAGCGACGCUGAUGCGUUGUUGGGUAGGGGAGCGUUCUGUAAGCCUGUGAAGGUGUGUCGUGAGGCAUGCUGGAGGUAUCAGAAGUGCGAAUGCUGACAUAAGUAACGAUAAAGCGGGUGAAAAGCCCGCUCGCCGGAAGACCAAGGGUUCCUGUCCAACGUUAAUCGGGGCAGGGUGAGUCGACCCCUAAGGCGAGGCCGAAAGGCGUAGUCGAUGGGAAACGGGUUAAUAUUCCCGUACUUGGUGUUACUGCGAAGGGGGGACGGAGAAGGCUAUGUUGGCCGGGCGACGGUUGUCCCGGUUUAAGCGUGUAGGUGUGUGUUCCAGGUAAAUCCGGUUCACUUUAACACUGAGGCGUGACGACGAGGCACUACGGUGCUGAAGCAACAAAUGCCCUGCUUCCAGGAAAAGCCUCUAAGCAUCAGGUAACAUCAAAUCGUACCCCAAACCGACACAGGUGGUCAGGUAGAGAAUACCAAGGCGCUUGAGAGAACUCGGGUGAAGGAACUAGGCAAAAUGGUGCCGUAACUUCGGGAGAAGGCACGCUGACACGUAGGUGAAGUGAUUUACUCACGGAGCUGAAGUCAGUCGAAGAUACCAGCUGGCUGCAACUGUUUAUUAAAAACACAGCACUGUGCAAACACGAAAGUGGACGUAUACGGUGUGACGCCUGCCCGGUGCCGGAAGGUUAAUUGAUGGGGUCAGCGCAAGCGAAGCUCCUGAUCGAAGCCCCGGUAAACGGCGGCCGUAACUAUAACGGUCCUAAGGUAGCGAAAUUCCUUGUCGGGUAAGUUCCGACCUGCACGAAUGGCGUAAUGAUGGCCAGGCUGUCUCCACCCGAGACUCAGUGAAAUUGAACUCGCUGUGAAGAUGCAGUGUACCCGCGGCAAGACGGAAAGACCCCGUGAACCUUUACUAUAGCUUGACACUGAACAUUGAGCCUUGAUGUGUAGGAUAGGUGGGAGGCUUUGAAGUGUGGACGCCAGUCUGCAUGGAGCCGACCUUGAAAUACCACCCUUUAAUGUUUGAUGUUCUAACGUGGACCCGUUACCCGGGUUGCGGACAGUGUCUGGUGGGUAGUUUGACUGGGGCGGUCUCCUCCUAAAGAGUAACGGAGGAGCACGAAGGUUGGCUAAUCCUGGUCGGACAUCAGGAGGUUAGUGCAAUGGCAUAAGCCAGCUUGACUGCGAGCGUGACGGCGCGAGCAGGUGCGAAAGCAGGUCAUAGUGAUCCGGUGGUUCUGAAUGGAAGGGCCAUCGCUCAACGGAUAAAAGGUACUCCGGGGAUAACAGGCUGAUACCGCCCAAGAGUUCAUAUCGACGGCGGUGUUUGGCACCUCGAUGUCGGCUCAUCACAUCCUGGGGCUGAAGUAGGUCCCAAGGGUAUGGCUGUUCGCCAUUUAAAGUGGUACGCGAGCUGGGUUUAGAACGUCGUGAGACAGUUCGGUCCCUAUCUGCCGUGGGCGCUGGAGAACUGAGGGGGGCUGCUCCUAGUACGAGAGGACCGGAGUGGACGCAUCACUGGUGUUCGGGUUGUCAUGCCAAUGGCACUGCCCGGUAGCUAAAUGCGGAAGAGAUAAGUGCUGAAAGCAUCUAAGCACGAAACUUGCCCCGAGAUGAGUUCUCCCUGAGACUUAGAGUCUCCUGAAGGAACGUUGAAGACGACGACGUUGAUAGGCCGGGUGUGUAAGCGCAGCGAUGCGUUGAGCUAACCGGUACUAAUGAACCGUGAGGCUUAACCUUACAACGCCGAAG